UGGGGAAUUUUGGACAAUGGGCGAAAGCCUGAUCCAGCAAUGCCGCGUGUGUGAAGAAGGCCUUCGGGUUGUAAAGCACUUUUGUCCGGAAAGAAAUCCUUGGCUCUAAUACAGUCGGGGGAUGACGGUACCGGAAGAAUAAGCACCGGCUAACUACGUGCCAGCAGCCACGGUAAUACGUAGGGUGCAAGCGUUAAUCGGAAUUACUGGGCGUAAAGCGUGCGCAGGCGGUUUGCUAAGACCGAUGUGAAAUCCCGGGCUCAACCUGGGAACUGCAUUGGUGACUGGCAGGCUAGAGUAUGGCAGAGGGGGGUAGAAUUCCACGUGUAGCAGUGAAAUGCGUAGAGAUGUGGAGGAAUACCGAUGGCGAAGGCAGCCCCCUGGGCCAAUACUGACGCUCAUGCACGAAAGCGUGGGGAGCAAACAGGAUUAGAUACCCUGGUAGUCCACGCCCUAAACGAUGUCAACUAGUUGUUGGGGAUUCAUUUCCUUAGUAACGUAGCUAACGCGUGAAGUUGACCGCCUGGGGAGUACGGUCGCAAGAUUAAAACUCAAAGGAAUUGACGGGGUCAUAGCUGUUUCCU
rnacentral:rRNA from 1 species